CCUACGGGGGGCAGCAGUGAGGAAUAUUGGUCAAUGGGCGCGAGUCUGAACCAGCCAAGUCGCGUGAGGGAUGAAGGUUCUAUGGAUCGUAAACCUCUUUUAUACGGGAAUAAAGUGUGGGACGUGUCCUAUUUUGUAUGUACCUUAUGAAUAAGGAUCGGCUAACUCCGUGCCAGCAGCCGCGGUAAUACGGAGGAUCCGAGCGUUAUCCGGAUUUAUUGGGUUUAAAGGGUGCGUAGGCGGCCGUUUAAGUCAGCGGUGAAAGCCCGUGGCUCAACCAUGGAAUUGCCGUUGAAACUGGGGGGCUUGAGUAUAUUUGAGGCAGGCGGAAUGCGUGGUGUAGCGGUGAAAUGCUUAGAGAUCACGCAGAACCCCGAUUGCGAAGGCAGCCUGCCAAGCCAUGACUGACGCUGAGGCACGAAAGCGUGGGGAUCAAACAGGAUUAGAUACCCUGGUAGUC
rnacentral:rRNA from 1 species